CAGUUUUCUUGCUUCUAAAAUGAAGAUGUUUGUAACUACUCAGUAAGGUCAUUAAGAUAGGACAAGAUUUUUGGUCAGUCUGGACAAGCUAGGUUGUGCUCGAAUGAUAAAUGAUUGCUAAAACUCUGUGGUUUUGUCCUAAGUCCCACUAUAUUGUCAUCUUCUUCACUUCAAGGCUCCAGCUGGUGGGGCAGCCUUUCUCUGAAAUGCUGGCAGAUGUGGGCCGGUGAAUAUGGGUGAUUCGUCACAUAAUCUCCCAGGUACUCUGCGUCUUCCACCCUCUGGACAGAUGGGUCUGUCUAGGAAGGACCAUGAGACCCUGUAGGAAUGAAUACACCAGCUCAUUAAGGCGCAUGGAACGUGGUGCUGGAAGAGGGGGAAGGAAUAACCAAGGAAAAUAUGAAUCUUAAUGGCAUGCAGCCAGGACUAGAGCUAAAAAAGGUCAACAUCACCUUUUCAUGUUCGAUUUUAAGGCUUAUCAACAAGGGACAUGAAAGAAUGAGCUCAAGUGCAGCGGUUAAAGGAGAAAGACAUCUGGAUCUGAAUUCAGGCUCCGCAACUUCUGAGCUGUGUGACAUCAGGAUAACCCUUCAGAGCUGGGGGCUCUGACUGCCAGACAUCCCUACACAGGAGGGUGACCC
rnacentral:lncRNA from 1 species